AUUGAACGCUGGCGGCAGGCCUAACACAUGCAAGUCGAGCGGAUGAAGGGAGCUUGCUCCUGGAUUCAGCGGCGGACGGGUGAGUAAUGCCUAGGAAUCUGCCUGGUAGUGGGGGAUAACGUCCGGAAACGGGCGCUAAUACCGCAUACGUCCUGAGGGAGAAAGUGGGGGAUCUUCGGACCUCGCGCUAUCAGAUGAGCCUAGGUCGGAUUAGCUAGUUGGUGGGGUAAAGGCCUACCAAGGCGACGAUCCGUAACUGGUCUGAGAGGAUGAUCAGUCACACUGGAACUGAGACACGGUCCAGACUCCUACGGGAGGCAGCAGUGGGGAAUAUUGGACAAUGGGCGAAAGCCUGAUCCAGCCAUGCCGCGUGUGUGAAGAAGGUCUUCGGAUUGUAAAGCACUUUAAGUUGGGAGGAAGGGCAGUAAGUUAAUACCUUGCUGUUUUGGCGUUACCAACAGAAUAAGCACCGGCUAACUUCGUG
rnacentral:rRNA from 1 species